AGUGAACGCUGGCGGUAGGCCUAACACAUGCAAGUCGAACGGCAGCACAGUAAGAGCUUGCUCUUACGGGUGGCGAGUGGCGGACGGGUGAGGAAUACAUCGGAAUCUACUUUUUCGUGGGGGAUAACGUAGGGAAACUUACGCUAAUACCGCAUACGACCUACGGGUGAAAGCAGGGGAUCUUCGGACCUUGCGCGAUUGAAUGAGCCGAUGUCGGAUUAGCUAGUUGGCGGGGUAAAGGCCAACCAAGGCGACGAUCCGUAGCUGGUCUGAGAGGAUGAUCAGCCACACUGGAACUGAGACACGGUCCAGACUCCUACGGGAGGCAGCAGUGGGGAAUUUUGGACAAUGGGCGCAAGCCUGAUCCAGCCGUACCGCGUGGGUGAAGAAGGCCUUCGGGUUGUAAAGCCCUUUUGUUGGGAAAGAAAAGCAGCAGGUUAAUACCCCGCUGUUCUGACGGUACCCUAAGAAUAAGCACCGGCUAACUUCGUG
rnacentral:rRNA from 1 species